ensembl:lncRNA
GCGUGCCACCGCUCGCUCAUCUCACUUACAGCAUGAAGAGGAGUCACAACAUAUAGAUCUAGGAAUGUUUAGUGUUUGAUUGUGGAAUGCUGCUUUUAUCUUUUGAUUUUCUUCUUCUUUUUCCAAAACGGAAGGCGCCGUGUAGCCACGUUAUAAGGGAGACGGACUAAAGGGGGACAUGUAACGAAAACAAGGUGUUCACUGAAAAGCCAACUGUCGGUGUGUGCAUGUGUAUACAGAGUGUGUGUGUGUGUGUGUCACUGUCUUCAGAGAGACAUUUUGGGGUGGUGGCGGGUGGGUGAAAUGAAUUGUAAGGCUAAAUUUCUGUUCUGGUUCUUUGUUCAUUUGUUUACUAGUUAAAUGCAAAAAAAAACUUCAUGUAUGAACCUCAGCAUCGACGUCUGUCUCUGGGAGAAAACAGUUUUUCCAUCCAUGGCCUGUUGUCUGUCUUCCAAAAAUUUGUGUGUGUGUGUGCGUUUCUGCUGUACGGGUGCCGGUUCUCAUGCAAUGUGCACACGUGCGAGCGUGACUCCCACAUGGUGCGUUUGAGUCCCCGGUGCAGCGAGGCAGGUGUGCGUGGGGGAGGUGGGGGGAGGGCAGUGUGUGCGUGAAUGAUCCCCUGCAGGCUCUUGCUCUUCACCUCCACCCGUCCUCCCCUCUAAGAAAAAAGAAAAAAGAGACCCUGGUGCUCUCAGCAUCUGCCUUAAAGAAGCAGGUGUGGAAUCUCUCAAAGAACACGACUACAGUCCGACCAGUCGUUUUAAGCUACACGUUUCAGCUUCGGGGGGGUGGGGGCAACAUGUGUGUAUUUGAUUUUUGCACAUUUUGUCCCUGCGUACAAAGUGGCUGCUAAUGCCUUAAAAACAGACACGGCCUACCGGAAGUAUGUGAUAUGUAUGAGUGAGCGAGAUAUAUCGACAUCACAAGGGCCAUUCCUUUUCAUUGUGACGGUCACUGGCGUGGUGCUUUCAUGCGUUACACAACACACACACACACACACACACCCCGUCAUAGCUCCAUGAACAUCAUCGCCGCCUUUCUCCUCAGAAAGAUCAAAUGUAUGUUUAUUGAACAAUAACUUAAAGGAGGGAGUUUGUGCACUUACUUUUUGAGAAUUGGAUCAUUUGGACACUGUCGUCUAAAGAAGUCACUUCCAAUGUGGAGGAAAAGUGAAUCGUUGAGCAGCAAUUUGUAUUUGCCAUUGAUAUUAGAGGAAUAAAACAUUUGAA